rnacentral:rRNA from 1 species
CCUACGGGUGGCAGCAGUGGGGAAUAUUGCACAAUGGGCGAAAGCCUGAUGCAGCAACGCCGCGUGAGCGAUGAAGGCCCUCUGGACGUAAAGCUCUGUCCUCAAGGAAGAUAAUCACGGCACGUGAGGACGAAGCCCCGGCUAACCACGUGCCAGCAGCCGCGGUAAUACGGAGGGGGCUAGCGUUAUCCGGAAUUACUGGGCGUAAAGGGUGCGUAGGUGGGUUCUUAAGUCAGAGGUGAAAGGCUACGGCUCAACCGUAGUAAGCCUUUGAAACUGGGGAACUUGAGUGCAGGAGAGGAAAGUGGAAUUCCUAGUGUAGCGGUGAAAUGCGUAGAUAUUAGGAAGAACACCAGUUGCGAAGGCAGCUCACUGGACUGUAACUGACACUGAGGCACGAAAGCGUGGGGAGCAAACAGGAUUAGAUACCCCUGUAGUC